rnacentral:rRNA from 1 species
ACGCGCAGAACCUUACCAUCCUUUGACAUGGCGUGUUAUGGGAGGAGAUUCCAUCGUCCCACUUCGGUGGCGCGCACACAGGUGCUGCAUGGCUGUCGUCAGCUCGUGUCGUGAGAUGUUGGGUUAAGUCCCGCAACGAGCGCAACCCACGUCCUUAGUUGCCAUCAUUCAGUUGGGCACUCUAGGGAGACUGCCGGUGAUAAGCCGCGAGGAAGGUGUGGAUGACGUCAAGUCCUCAUGGCCCUUACGG